rnacentral:lncRNA from 1 species
UGGUAUGUUUAGGCUUUAAUUUUGUCUUUCUGUGCAUUUGCCUAAGUAUAUUUCUGGUCUUGAUAUUGAAAGACAGAUUCAAGCUGUAAUACAUCACAGCUGUUGGGCAGGAACUCACGGGAAGCAAUGAGCAAGGUAGAAGGGGCUGCUAUUAGAAACAACUUGAGGCACCCAUAGAUGCAACCAAACCUUAAUCCAAGGUGUAUUCAUUUUAUAUUGCUUCUGUAACAAAUUACCACAAAUUUAAUAGCUUAAAAUACACAAAUUUAUUUUCUUAUAGUGCUGGAGUUCAGAGGUAAUAACCUCAAGGUGUUGUCAUUCGAAAGUGCGCCACCGUCUCAGCAGCCGUGGCUGAGAGGGAGAGCGCUGAGGUGGUGGUGAAGGAAGGCCUGGUGGAGAAGGAGGUAGUGGAGGAGCAGAUGGAGGUAGAGGAGCAGCCGCCAGAAGGUGAAGAAAUAGAAGUGGCGGAGGAGGAUAGAUUGGAGGAGGAGGCGAGGGAGGAGGAAGGGCCCUGGCCUUUGCAUGAGGCUCUCCGCAUGGACCCUCUGGAGGCCAUCCAGCUGGAACUGGACACUGUGA